UACGAAGGGGGCAAGCGUUGUUCGGAAUUACUGGGCGUAAAGGGCGCGUAGGCGGCUUAUCAAGUCAGGCGUGAAAUUCCCGGGCUCAACCUGGGGGCUGCGCUUGAUACUGAUUGGCUUGAAUGCGGGAGAGGAUAGUGGAAUUCCCAGUGUAGAGGUGAAAUUCGUAGAUAUUGGGAAGAACACCGGUGGCGAAGGCGGCUAUCUGGCCCGUAAUUGACGCUGAGGUGCGAAAGCGUGGGGAGCAAACAGG
rnacentral:rRNA from 1 species